rnacentral:rRNA from 1 species
UACGGAGGGGGCUAGCGUUGUUCGGAAUUACUGGGCGUAAAGCGCGCGUAGGCGGCUUAGCAAGUUAGAGGUGAAAGCCCGAAGCUCAACUUCGGAAUUGCCUUUAAAACUGCAAAGCUAGAAUCAUGGAGAGGUGAGUGGAAUUCCGAGUGUAGAGGUGAAAUUCGUAGAUAUUCGGAAGAACACCAGUGGCGAAGGCGACUCACUGGACAUGUAUUGACGCUGAGGUGCGAAAGCGUGGGGAGCAAACAGGGAUUAAGAA